GUGAGUAACGCGUGAGAAUCUGGCUCCAGGUCGGGGAUAACAGUUGGAAACGACUGCUAAUACCGGAUGUGCCGAAAGGUGAAAGAUUUAUUGCCUGGAGAUGAGCUCGCGUCUGAUUAGCUAGUUGGUGGUGUAAGGGACCACCAAGGCGUCGAUCAGUAGCUGGUCUGAGAGGAUGAUCAGCCACACUGGGACUGAGACACGGCCCAGACUCCUACGGGAGGCAGCAGUGGGGAAUUUUCCGCAAUGGGCGAAAGCCUGACGGAGCAAUACCGCGUGAGGGAGGAAGGCUCUUGGGUCGUAAACCUCUUUUCUCAAGGAAGAAGAAAGUGACGGUACUUGAGGAAUAAGCAUCGGCUAACUCCGUGCCAGCAGCCGCGGUAAUACGGAGGAUGCAAGCGUUAUCCGGAAUGAUUGGGCGUAAAGGGUCUGCAGGUGGAACUGAAAGUCUGCUGUUAAAGAGUUUGGCUUAACCAAAUAAAAGCGGUGGAAACUACAGAACUAGAGUGCGGUAGGGGCAAGAGGAAUUCCUGGUGUAGCGGUGAAAUGCGUAGAUAUCAGGAAGAACACCGGUGGCGAAAGCGUUUUGCUAGACCGUAACUGACACUGAGGGACGAAAGCUAGGGGAGCGAAUGGGAUUAGAUACCCCAGUAGUCCUAGCCGUAAACGAUGGAUACUAGGCGUGGCUUGUAUCGACCCGAGCCGUGCCGGAGCUAACGCGUUAAGUAUCCCGCCUGGGGAGUACGCACGCAAGUGUGAAACUCAAAGGAAUUGACGGGGGCCCGCACAAGCGGUGGAGUAUGUGGUUUAAUUCGAUGCAACGCGAAGAACCUUACCAAGACUUGACAUCCUGCGAAUCCUGGUGAAAGCUAGGAGUGCCUUAGGGAGCGCAGAGACAGGUGGUGCAUGGCUGUCGUCAGCUCGUGUCGUGAGAUGUUGGGUUAAGUCCCGCAACGAGCGCAACCCUCGUUUUUAGUUGCCAGCAUUAAGUUGGGCACUCUAGAGAGACUGCCGGUGACAAACCGGAGGAAGGUGAGGAUGACGUCAAGUCAGCAUGCCCCUUACGUCUUGGGCUACACACGUACUACAAUGCUACGGACAGAGGGCAGCGAGCCAGGGAUGGCAAGCGAAUCCAGAAACCGUAGCUCAGUUCAGAUCGAAGGCUGCAACUCGCCUUCGUGAAGGAGGAAUCGCUAGUAAUUGCAGGUCAGCAUACUGCAGUGAAUUCGUUCCCGGGCCUUGUACACACCGCCCGUCACACCAUGGAAGUUGGUCACGCCCGAAGUCAUUACCCCAACCGAAAGGAGGGGGAUGCCUAAGGU
rnacentral:rRNA from 1 species